rnacentral:rRNA from 1 species
AUUGAACGCUGGCGGCAUGCUUUACACAUGCAAGUCGAACGGCAGCACGGACUUCGGUCUGGUGGCGAGUGGCGAACGGGUGAGUAAUACAUCGGAACGUACCCAGUAAUGGGGGAUAACUAUCCGAAAGGAUAGCUAAUACCGCAUACGCCCUACGGGGGAAAGAGGGGGAUCGCAAGACCUCUUGUUAUUGGAGCGGCCGAUGGCUGAUUAGCUAGUUGGUGAGGUAAAGGCUCACCAAGGCGACGAUCAGUAGCGGGUCUUAGAGGACGAUCCGCCACACUGGAACUGCGACACGGUCCAGACUCCUACGGGAGGCAGCAGUGGGGAAUCUUGGACAAUGGGCGCAAGCCUGAUCCAGCAAUGCCGCGUGCGUGAGGAAGGCCUUCGGGUUGUAAAGCGCUUUUGUCAGGGAGCAAAUCCUUGUGGCUAAUACCCACCGGGGAUGAGAGUACCUGAAGAAUAAGGACCGGCUAACUACGUGCCAGCAGCCGCGGUAAAAC